GAGGUUUUUGAAGAUCAGGGGGAUUUUCAAGUUUUUGCAAGGUUACUAGUUCGGUUUCAUUGGAGGUUUUUGAAGAUCAGGGAGAUUUUCAAGUUUUUGCAAGGUUACUAGUUCGGUUUCAUUGGAGGUUUUUGAAGAUCAGGGGGGAUUAGAGAGAGGAGCUUCAUGCUUCGGGUCGGGGAAGGAAAGUCAUAGAAUUUGGAUUUUUCUUCUUCGUAGAGUUUUGGGAAGACUGAGGCAAUCGCUGCUGAAGUCAGUAUUGUAAUGGUGAAUCGGGAUUUUUAAUGAAGUGGGUUUGAAUACUCUUGACUGUUUUGUGAAAUCGAGUUACGUCUAUGAUUGAAGGAUUAAAAGGGUGUCUAUAGGAUUGAGUAUGCGGAGU
rnacentral:lncRNA from 1 species